AUCUCAUACCUGGUGAACGGAGUGACGAACCAGUACUCGACCAGGGAGAUGCUCAAUGAGGUGAAAAGCUUUUUCGGCUCCCUGACUGAGGAAACAGGCUCAGAGAUGAGAUGCAUCCAACAGGCCUAUGAAACCAUUGAGGACAACAUCCGCUGGACUGACUCUAACCUUCCUCUGCUGCAGAACUGGCUCAACAAACACAUGGGCAGAGUGGUCCAUGAAGAUCUGUAGUGAUAUGGAAAACAGAGAAGGUGAAGGAUAAACCCGUCGCUUCUUGAGUCAUGUAUUGUGUGCUCAUGAGAGACUGAAACAACAAAUAUGAUGACAAUUAUUUUGAUAUCUUUUAAAUCAAGGCACCUUGUUUAAUAACUGACCUGACUUCAGAUUUGAUUCCAAAAUAAAUUUUUUUCCAUUUGUAAAAUGUCAUCUUACCACCAUUAUAAACUGUGAACUACAGGCUGAAACUGGUGCAGCGCCUCCAUAUUAUGAGAGUUAUAGUGGAGUAUGAGGCACUGUUAUUA